CCUACGGGGGUCAGCAGUGGGGGAUAUUGCACAAUGGGGGAAACCCUGAUGCAGCGACGCCGCGUGUGGGAAGACGGUCCUCUGGAUUGUACACCACUGUCCCCAGGGACGAAGCUGACGUUACCUGGGGAGGCAGCUCCGGCUAACUACGUGCCAGCAGCCGCGGUAAUACGUAUGGAGCGAGCGUUGUCCGGAAUUACUGGGUGUAAAGGGAGCGUAGGCGGGGAUGCAAGUUGGGUGUCAAAACUACCGGCUCAACUGGUAGUCGCACUCAAAACUGCAGCUCUUGAGUGAAGUAGAGGCAGGCGGAAUUCCUAGUGUAGCGGUGAAAUGCGUAGAUAUUAGGAGGAACACCAGUGGCGAAGGCGGCCUGCUGGGCUGUGACUGACGCUGAGGCUCGAAAGUGUGGGGAGCAAACAGGAUUAGAUACCCUUGUAGUC
rnacentral:rRNA from 1 species